GCUGAGCUUAGUAAAAUGGGCUUGUCAACAAGUGGAGCAUUAAGGUAUUUGAAUAAUUUAUAUUGAGCUCAUGGUUUACAUUAUGAGCUAGCUUUGAUUUUCCCGUUUCCAAGUUGGGCAGUGGAUGCUAUAUGUUUCAGGCUAACGCUUGAAUCAUAUUCUCCCUAAGCUUGAGGGUAAUGCGUGAGGCUGGUUUCGAAGAGCAGCGAUUACCUCUCACUCUCAACGGUGGAAGGAUUACAAGUCAUUUGCUCAAAUUGUCAAUUAGCCUUGGAAUCCUCCAAAUUCAACAAAUAUUUUG
rnacentral:SRP_RNA from 1 species